AAACCUUGAUGUGGACUGAUUUUUUUCAUGAAUGAUAAAGUUGUAUUUGCCUGAAAUAACCUGAUACAGGGCUAUGUGGCCUGGUUUCAGUGGUGACAGAUUUAAUCGAAACUGAUAUUCAAUACUUGAUUUCUAAACAGUAGAUUAGUUUAUCUUAAAACGUGCUUUUCUAAUGGUGGAGUUAUUUGAUGCUCUGUCUAGGUACGAUGCUUGAUAUGCAGGCACUUCGAAAGGGUACAUGAGGUGCAUGAACUCGAAUUAAACUCGCUCAAGGUGCUUGGAAAGGAGGAACUUGAAAGGUAUGGUGAACGAUUAUUCCACAAAGCAAGAGCAAAGAAUUCAAGGACAACAUGGCUACAAAAUGAUGAGUAGCACAAGGUGAGUAGUUACUUCUGAUGACUUCUAAGAUGUGUGAUCUACUGACGCUUUUGCUGGCUGGAAUUUUAACUAUUGUUUUUCUGUUGGAUAUUUACUUCCAGUGGCUGGGAGUUCAACCAUUACUUUUCCAAUGGCUCUAGAGUUUUCUAUAGUAAAAUCUUUACUUGAUGCAGUGAAAGGCUUGAUAAUUUCCCACCCAACUAGAGGACCAGAAGGGACUUUAGAGGAAAGAUCAUCGUCCUAACACAGAAAAUGUUAUGCGGAGGAGUUCCUGGAGGGACAUGGCAUACAGUGUCCAAAAGCGAUUGUAGUUGGUGAUGAGCGACGGACAACAUGCAGAAAUUGGGAACCGAUUGGGGUCAGGAAUGGUGGAUCUAGUACGAAAACCGAUGGCAGCAGUAGAGAUCGAUGCUGCUAACCAGACCCAGCAAGUGUAACGUGGCGUGCUGAAAACAGAGAAGGGGAUUGAAUCAGUCUCUGACAGUCUCACUGGAAAUGAGGAUAUGGGUUCGAUCACUGAUAGUGGCAGGGAUGUAGAUCAUGAUUGCCUGAAACAGAUGAUAGAGGGGCCACAUUAUGACUGAUGAUGGAUUGAUGGUGGUGCUUUAGCGAUGGCAGCAGGUUGAAAUGACAACGACGAUAUGUAGCUGCAAAUCUGAUGGUGCGCACAGAGGGCUGUGGUUGUUCGUACAGCAAUGGGGUAGCAGAUGGGCAGUGGUGAUGGUGCCGUUGGUGAAGGUGAUGGCGGUUGUGGGACUGCUCACACCAACCAAACAGAUUUGAUGAACAGAGAUGGCCGAAGAUGAAGAUGAUGUCUUCCAGAUUUAAUUGUGGCAGUGAUGGGUUUGGGGUUACAAUGAUGAUCUGCGCCUAGACGUGCUGGAGGUGGGUUCGUUGGUGCUGGAAACAAAGGUGCUGACAAUGAUAUGGAGGCUCGCACAUAGACAUAGAUGAGGCUCGAGAAUGGUGACUGAGGUCGGUCCUGUAAAAUAGGGUUUGGUGGUAAUGGGCUUGGAGCAAUGGUGGCUGAUGGGAGAGGAUUGAUGAAGAGCAUAUAUGUGAUUUAGGGAUCUGGUUAUAGACAACGGUCGAAUGCUCAUUGGAAUUAAUGGUAGACAGAAGAUGGAAAGAUCGGGGUGUGCCCCUCUGAGAUGAGGCAGAUGGGGACGAGGACGAGGAUGAACGGUUAGGAUCAAAAGCACCAGAUGGGGGAUCUGUGUCCCUCCGAGGCGAGGCAGAUGGGGACGAGGACAAGGAUGAACAGUUAGGAUCUAAAGCCCCAGAUGAGAGCUCUGAUACUAUGUUAAACCAUAAGAAACUGCAUUGUGGAAACUGUUAACUUGUUUAUUUCACUGAGAAUAACAUGAAUAUACAGAAGAUGUGAUAGAUUUAUGCAGAAA